rnacentral:lncRNA from 1 species
AGGAAUAAUACUGCCUUUUCUUUCUGGCAUGGAUCAAGAGAAAAGAAAAUACAAGAAAACAGACAGAAGAUCCUAUCUGCGACAAUUAAGAGCACUCUAAGAGGAAAACACAUCCCACCACAGCAAGGUACUUCUAUGGAAGGGUGAGCCCUCACAGAUGGAGCAAUGGGGCGCGCACACCUGAACAAGGGAGGGGAAGGAGUUCUUAUCCCUGAUGCAUGUGACCCCUGCUGCUGUGUCCUUCCCCUAUUGGCUAAGGCUUCUGACAGCUUUGGAGAUUGUGACAUUGGAAUAAAGGAAAAACGUACAGGACUCAUGAAGCGCUGAAAUGUUCACAAAUAUCAAGCAAAAGUCAAUGAAAUUUAUUUUGAGCUAUUUACAUCAUUUAAUAAUUGAGCAAGGUAUACUCCUAUGAACAAAAUUUGGAGCAUGUUUGUCUCUCUCUGCCUGGCGUCUUCAGAAUUUGGAAACUAGUUAGUCAUGGAAAUUUAUUUUGAGCUAUUUACAGCAUUUAAUAAUUGAGCAAGGUAUACUCCUAUGAACAAAAUUUGGAGCAUGUUUGUCUCUCUCUGUCUGCCUGGCAUCUACAGAAUUUGGAAACUAGUUUCGUUCCCAGAUUUCCUAAACUUUCCAGAGAAAAUGGUCUUCUCCCUGGCUCAGCAAGAAGAUGAACUUUAAACACUGAGAAACUGGUCAUCUCCCUGGCUCAACCAGAAGAUGAACUUUAAACACUACUCUCAAUGACUUGAUGUUCCCAUCACUACUCCUGUCAUAAAGGGAGGGGACUCAGAUAUUGAGAAUUUUAUGAUAGUGUGAACUGUCUGGUAUGUCAUUUAAGUAAGCCCGUUGCUGAAAUAUUUUCCAUGUUAUUAGAAAGAGCUGAAGAGAGGGAUUGAGAUGGCUUCUUUAUUUUUUGUCUUUUGGGAAUUAAAGGAACCUGGUUCAACAAGGGCCUACACCUAAGUCUCUUGUUGUACCAGAGUACAAUUUAGGACUGCUCCUGAGGAAGGAAUUAGCUAGAAAUCUAGAGAGUAAGGGUAACAGAUUUACAUAGAAUAACAGCCUCAGUAUUUUUGGUUCCUCUCCAGUAAAGAUCACAAAGAAUAUUGCUAAAUCGCUAAAACACCUUUGCAAUAACGUAAGGGCUUACAACUAUAUACCAAUGUAGCUCAGUUACUAAACUGGAGUAAACUAAUUUCUCUUGUGUAGAAAAAUUGGUUGGCUGUGGUUUUAUAGCAGAUCUGCAAUUAUUAAUAGUUAUGCCAAUAAUCGUUUAACAGUGCAUAUGUUAAUAUAUAUGGAAAGACAAUGUGUAUAGACAGAUGUGUAAAAUUGAAAAAUAAACAUAUAACAAGAGAGAAACAUCUAUCGAACAGACAAUAUACAUACACAUCAAACACAACAGCAGUUUUAGUGACCAUAAUAUUUAUUUCUCAUUUUUACAUUGCUUACUUUAGUGACAACUGAAAAUGACAGUUGGCAAUGCAGCUAACAGUUUCAAUAAAAGUAUAAAACAAAAGACUGUGUACAAAGCACCUGUCUUUCCGCUUUUGUAAUCUUCCGUUGGAAAAAAUUUACACACCUAAGUAACCAUCUGUUUUCUUCAAGAAAAAAUCAUUCUUAUUUCUCUCUCUCAUCUUGAAAACAGCUGUCAGCCAGGAGGGCAGAGCUGAAAUUUAUUGCCACAUCACAUGAAGCAUAGAACAGACUCCACUACUCCUUGAGAUUCAAAACUUUGCCUCUCACAAAGUUACCUUUUAUUUUCCUCUUGUUUGUCACUCAUCUCCCCUAGUGUGCUCUUUUUAUUUCUUUUACUAUUAAUAAUAAAAUCUGUGGAUGACUGUAUUAUU